rnacentral:rRNA from 1 species
GAGGGGUAGAGGUUGCUUGCUACCUUGAGACCGGCGCACGGGUGCGUAACGCGUAUGCAACCUACCUUCAUCUGGGGGAUAGCCCGGAGAAAUCCGGAUUAACACCGCAUAAAAUCACAGUCCCACCUGGGACAAUGAUCAAAUAUUUAUAGGAUGGAGAUGGGCAUGCGUGUCAUUAGCUAGUUGGCGGGGUAACGGCCCACCAAGGCGACGAUGACUAGGGGAUCUGAGAGGAUGGCCCCCCACACUGGUACUGAGACACGGACCAGACUCCUACGGGAGGCAGCAGUAAGGAAUAUUGGUCAAUGGAGGCAACUCUGAACCAGCCAUGCCGCGUGCAGGAAGACUGCCCUAUGGGUUGUAAACUGCUUUUAUUCGGGAAUAAACCUUAUUACGUGUAAUAAGCUGAAUGUACCGAAGGAAUAAGGAUCGGCUAACUCCGUGCCAGCAGCCGCGGUAAUACGGAGGAUCCAAGCGUUAUCCGGAUUUAUUGGGUUUAAAGGGUGCGUAGGCGGCCUGUUAAGUCAGGGGUGAAAGACGGUAGCUCAACUAUCGCAGUGCCCUUGAUACUGAUGGGCUUGAAUGGACUAGAGGUAGGCGGAAUGAGACAAGUAGCGGUGAAAUGCAUAGAUAUGUCUCAGAACACCGAUGCGAAGGCAGCUUACUAUGGUCUUAUUGACGCUGAGGCACGAAAGCGUGGGGAUCAAACAGGAUUAGAUACCCUGGUAGUCCACGCCCUAAACGAUGAACACUCGCUGUUGGCGAUACACAGUCAGCGGCUAAGCGAAAGCGUUAAGUGUUCCACCUGGGGAGUACG